rnacentral:rRNA from 1 species
UACGAAGGGGGCUAGCGUUGCUCGGAAUUACUGGGCGUAAAGCGCACGUAGGCGGUCUUUUAAGUCGGGGGUGAAAUCCUGGAGCUCAACUCCAGAACUGCCUUCGAUACUGGAAGACUUGAGUCCGGGAGAGGUGAGUGGAACUGCGAGUGUAGAGGUGAAAUUCGUAGAUAUUCGGAGGAACACCAGUGGCGAAGGCGGCUCACUGGUCCAUUACUGACGCUGAGGUGCGAAAGCGUGGGGAGCAAACAGG